rnacentral:rRNA from 1 species
GGAUUCCCCCAGUAGUGGCGAAUGAAGCGGGAAAAGCUCAAGUUUGAAAUCUGAAGUCCACUUCAGAGUUGUAAGCUGAAGAGGUGUCGACCGACUUGGUCCGGGCCCAACUUCCUUGGAACAGGAGGUCAUGGAGGGUGAGAACCCCGUCUGUGGCUCGGGUGCCGUAGUCCUUGUGUCGUGCCCUCGAAGAGUCGGGUUGUUUGGGAAUGCAGCUCAAAAUGGGUGGUAAAUUUCAUCUAAGGCUAAAUAUUGGCGAGAGACCGAUAGCAAACAAGUAGAGUGAUCGAAAGAUGAAAAGUACUUUGAAAAGAGAGUGAAACAGUACGUGAAAUUGUUGAAAGGGAAGCGUUUGGCAUCAG